rnacentral:rRNA from 1 species
UACGAAGGGGGCUAGCGUUGUUCGGAUUUACUGGGCGUAAAGCGCACGUAGGCGGAUCUUUAAGUCAGAGGUGAAAUCCCAAGGCUCAACCUUGGAACUGCCUUUGAUACUGGGGAUCUUGAGUCCGGGAGAGGUGAGUGGAACUGCGAGUGUAGAGGUGAAAUUCGUAGAUAUUAGGAAGAACACCAGUGGCGAAGGCGGCUCACUGGUCCGGUACUGACGCUGAGGUGCGAAAGCGUGGGGAGCAAACAGG